rnacentral:misc_RNA from 1 species
CACACACACACACAACAACCCUAUUUUCAGCUAAAGUCCCUGAUGAAUAUCAAGAAUACACAUGCAUAUACUAAUUAAUCUAAUCAAGGAAGGAUGUACAGAUAUCCAAGGUUUUAAGCAGUUAUAUAUUGCUUAUGUUAAAGAUACAUGUACUUUCUUAGUGAUGAGUGGUGACUAAAAUGGGAAAUUUUGAUUUCAUUUCUCCUUGAUCAAUAUGCAUAUUCAAUUGACAUUGCAGCCAAAAGAACCUUGAAUCUUUUACUAAAAUUAGCUUAGAAACAAAUUAUUGCAGAAUCAGCCCAUAUAUUUAAGAAGAUGUCACUAGAUAUUUCCAUUUUUGUAAAAGAAUGUGAGGAUAUUCAACCUGCUUAUGAGAAGCUAGUCAAAGAGAAAAGUAUAUUUUAGUUACGAAUUUGUCACGCACAGUUCUAUUUUCUACUCUUUGAAGAAAAUGGAGGCAUGUAACCGACCAUUAGAAAAAUAAAAUUUUCCUGGAGUUUGGUUUCAAUUGCCACCCAGCCCUUAUAGUCUCCGCUGUCUUUCUUGGUUUUUACCAAAUUCGUUGAAAAACAGAAAUGGGUAGUAGUUAGUGUGAAAAUCUGACUGGAAAGAGAAAACAAUACAAAAAAAAGAGAAAAAUAAAGUUGUAUUCCAUCUUUUUCUGGUUGAAUUUUUUUUCCAAAUUGGCUUUGCUUGCAGAGAGUUGCAAAGAAUAUUGAAGCUAGCUUGGUUGUUUGUAGCUUUCACUUUUAUGAUUUGUAACAGGAGAGAGGAAGAGGAGAGAGAUUCUCUAGGAGUACCAACCAUCAAAGUGAGCUUUGAAUUUACUGCUUUUUCACCUUAAGACUGAAAUCAUAAUAUCCAGGCCCUUAGUCUUUCACUUUUUAAUGUCUUGUGGGUCAGUUUUGUGCAUGAAUAUAGCUAUCCUUCCAUGUGGGAUCAUCUUCUUACUUGUUAGCUUAUGCACUGAUACACACCCAUUUGGCCAUUUACCACUCUGUGGCUCAGAUUGUCACACUCACAUCCCAUGUGGGUUCAUCUGCAUGAGAGGAAUAACUCCACGUGGAUGUAUUUAUAGCUUUGGCUAACAAGUACAGACAUAAAU